rnacentral:pre_miRNA from 1 species
UCUCAUGGAUGAGCAAAGAAAGCGAUUUCUUGAGAUGAAAUCUCCUCCUGGUGAAGAUGCUGUGAA